CUAAUCCUUUGUUUUGUCUGCUUCUCCGUCGUUUAAGCUCGAAUCCAGGUGAAAAAUGGUUCUUCACUGGAAUCCUCAAUUUCUCCUGCUGAUGCUUUGGAUAAUCAAUACUCGUCCAUGGAUCUUCAAAGAUUGUACUAUCUUCAGCUCUGAGAACUGAGUUCUCUGGUGGGUGGGCUGCUUCAUCUUUUUUGGUGCUAAUUUGUAGGUCGUAGAUCCUUUGGGCUGAUUGCAUGUCCAACUGGGAGGGAGAUAAUGGAAUGCUCGAACCCGCACACUUUUGAACUACUUUUUGUUCCCCUUCCCCUUGCAUAGAUGUUGCAUAGAUGUCACUCGACACUUUUGAACUUCUCAGCCCUUUCAUGUUUUUGUUGAUGAUAACCUUAUGUAUGGACAUUCUGACUUAUCACUGUUAAGGAUUUUCCUUCCCGAACUCUCCAAUUAUUGAAAUAUUGUUAUGUUGAAC